CCUACGGGAGGCAGCAGUAAGGAAUCUUCCACAAUGGACGAAAGUCUGAUGGAGCAACGCCGCGUGCAGGAUGAAGGCUUUCGGGUCGUAAACUGCUUUUAUAUGGGAAGAUUAUGACGGUACCAUAUGAAUAAGGACCGGCUAACUACGUGCCAGCAGCCGCGGUAAUACGUAGGGUCCAAGCGAUAUCCGGAAUUACUGGGCGUAAAGCGUGUGUAGGUGGAUUAAUAAGUGUGAUGCGAAAUCCGGCGGCUCAACCGUUUGGACUGUGUCGCAUACUGUUAGUCUAGAGGACGGCAGAGGUAAGUGGAAUUACGGGUGUAGCAGUGAAAUGCGUAGAUAUCCGUAGGAACACCAAUGGCGAAGGCAGCUUACUGGGCCACACCUGACACUGAGACACGAAAGCGUGGGGAGCGAACAGGAUUAGAUACCCUGGUAGUCCACGCCGUAAACGAUGCAUACUAUUAGUAUGGGGUAUCGACCCCCUGUGCUGAGAAGCUAACGCGAUAAGUAUGCCGCCUGGGGAGUACGAGCGCAAGCUUAAAACUCAAAGGAAUUGACGGNGNGAGAGCGCGAGACGACGACGAGGAGAGG
rnacentral:rRNA from 1 species